rnacentral:tRNA from 1 species
AAAUAAGAAUUGAUUAAUCAAAUUUGAUUUCGACUCAUAUAUAGAUAUUUAUUUAUCCUUAUUUA